UUGGAGGGCAAGUCUGGUGCCAGCAGCCGCGGUAAUUCCAGCUCCAAUAGCGUAUAUUAAAGUUGUUGCAGUUAAAAAGCUCGUAGUUGAAUUUCGGGAUGAUCAGGUUGGUCGUGCCAUUGGUAUGUACUAGCUUUGGUGGUUCCUACCUCUUGAAGAACCGUAAUGUCAUUAACUUGGUGUUGCGGGGAAUCAGGACUGUUACUUUGAAAAAAUUAGAGUGUUUAAAGCAGGCAAACGCUUGAAUACAUUAGCAUGGAAUAAUGAAGUAGGACGUUUGAUCUUAUUUUGUUGGUUUCUAGGAUCGACGUAAUGAUUAAUAGGGGUAGUUGGGGGCAUUAGUAUUCAAUUGUCAGAGGUGAAAUUCUUGGAUUUAUUGAAGACUAACUACUGCGAAAGCAUUUGCCAAGGAUGUUUUCAUUAAUCAAGAACGAAAGUUAGGGGAUCGAAGACGAUCAGAUACCGUCGUAGUCUUAACCAUAAACUAUGCCGACUAGGGAUCGGAUGAUGUUAAUUUUUUAAUGACUCAUUCGGCGCCUUACGGGAAAC
rnacentral:rRNA from 1 species